UAUUGGGGAAAUAACAACAUUUUAGCUCUCUGCAACUUUCACAUGGUCGCCCACUGAAGCUAAGCAGGCCUGUGCCUGGUCAGUACCUAGAUGGGAGACCACAUGGGAAAGCUAGGUUGCUGCCAAAA
ensembl:rRNA 5S_rRNA 5S ribosomal RNA